ACAUGCAAUGGGUGUCUGAAAUCUUGUUUGGAGUCAUUAACUGCUUCUACACUGAGCACAAAAGCAAAUAAAUGUUUGUGGCUUGGUGUCAUGGUUUUAUGAUUUUCGGUUAUUGGUAUUCCACAUCAUAACAUCAUGUAGUGAAUGUACCUGGUUCUCAGAAGAGAAGGACUACUACAGUCCCCACGGCACUUUGCUCCUCUGUUACCAUUUUCCAGCCGGAGGGAAAAGAUAAAAGCUCGCAGUAUAAAAACUUGCAGAUCACGAGACCUCGUCCCUUUUUUCCGCCGUCUCUCGUCUUGGCAGCACCUCGCUCUCCAGCCGUCUUAUCGUCGGUAGUAGAGUAAGGCCUACCUUGAUUUUGGGACAUUCUCUCUCUCUGUAUUGGAUUUAUCAGCUUAAAUUGUAAUUAUAUUGUAUUAUAGUGUGUUGUUUUGCAUUCCGAUAUCUUAUUUAGUAAAUUAGUUUGUUUCUCCUCAGAUUGUUGCCGCUGUUCUUUGCUCUCAGGGCCAUCUCCCUACCCUUUUCCCCUUUCCCCUUUUCCCGGGACGUGGGCCCUUGGGUCCCCCGUCCCCUUUGUCACGGAAUCGGGCCUAACGCCCGUAAACCGUUGACACUUGGUUACUAGAUACACAGGGAUACUUUACAUACUGAUGGAUGGCUAAUUGCCUCCAUACUUGUUGACCUCCUUCUGCCGCGGAUCCCUCUGCUGCUGCUGUCCUGCAGCUCUCAACCCUGCCAUCUCCUCAUUUAUCUUUCGGCCACAACUGAAACUUGCAUGCAAAAGCCCACUUCUCCCAAGAGCAGCACUCCAAGAGAUGAACGUCCAACAGAGCAGUUGUUCAGCAAGGGGCAUUCCUGCUUUAUUCUGAAUAAAAUCUUUACCAACGGCAUGAAGUAUGACCUUGAAAACAUUCUUCCCAACCUGAAUUUUUCUUCAGUUUUCUUAGCAAAACAUCCAACACCUGUCAUCAAAAUGGUUACAGGUCAGCAACAGUCACAAAGUUUAUUCCUCCCAGGCCUGCACAGUGAAUUUUGUUAAUGUCAGGAAAACAGAACUAGCACUGUCUGCUCCUCCUGCUUUACCUCAGAGCACAAGCAUGGAAGCUUCCCCAUCCUUCCUUCCUAGCCCCUGUGCCACCGAGCAGCUUAGGCUCCUC
rnacentral:lncRNA from 1 species